UCCGGGGUAGUUCAGUGGUAGAACGCGCGGCUGUUAACCGCGAUGUCGCAGGUUCGAAUCCUGCCCCCGGAGCAA
rnacentral:tRNA from 1 species